GACGAACGCUGGCGGUGCGCUAAUGCAUGCAAGUCGAACGAGCGACCCGGGCUUGCCCGGUUAGCUAGUGGCAGACGGCUGAGUAACACGUAAGUAAUUUGCCCCGAAGAGGGGGAUAAUCCAGAGAAAUCUGGCCUAAUACCCCGUACCUUUCUUUCCGGCCUGCCGGAUUGAAAGAAAGGCUCCGGCGCUUUGGGAGAAGCUUGCGGCUUAUCAGGUAGUUGGUGGGGUAAUGGCCUACCAAGCCGAAGACGAGUAACCGGUGUGAGAGCACGAUCGGUCAGAGGGGGACUGAGACACGGCCCCCACUCCUACGGGAGGCAGCAGCAGGGAAUCUUGCGCAAUGGGCGAAAGCCUGACGCAGCGACACCGCGUGGAGGAUGAAGGUUUUAGGAUUGUAAACUCCUUUUAUCAGGGAAGAGAAAGGACGGUACCUGAUGAAUAAGGUUCGGCUAACUACGUGCCAGCAGCCGCGGUAAUACGUAGGAACCGAGCGUUGUCCGGAUUUACUGGGCGUAAAGAGCGCGUAGGUGGUUUGUUAAGUCUCAUGUGUAAUCUCCCGGCUCAACUGGGAGGGGUCAUGGGAUACUGGCAGGCUUGAGGGUAGCAGAGGAAAGCGGAAUUCCCGGAGUAGUGGUGAAAUGCGUAGAUACCGGGAGGAACACCAGAGGCGAAGGCGGCUUUCUGGGCUAUUCCUGACACUGAGGCGCGAAAGCGUGGGGAGCGAACCGGAUUAGAUACCCGGGUAGUCCACGCCGUAAACGAUGGGUACUAGACAUUGGGGGUAUAGACCCCUCCAGUGUCGAAGCUAACGCGAUAAGUAUCCCGCCUGGGGAGUACGGCCGCAAGGCUAAAACUCAAAGGAAUUGACGGGGACCCGCACAAGCAGCGGAGCGUGUGGUUUAAUUCGAUGCAAAGCGAAAAACCUUACCCAGAC
rnacentral:rRNA from 1 species